GGGGAAGCGGCAACGAUUGGCGGUGUUGUAGCUGACUGUAAAUCAGUUUCCAAGUGGUAAACACUGGAGGUUCAAUUCCUCUCUUCCCCA
rnacentral:tRNA from 1 species